rnacentral:tRNA from 1 species
UAGGGAGACCUAAUCCACUUGAAUAUCGAAAGCACACAGCAAAUAGAUAUCAAGUUGGUCAUUCCUAGGUCGGUCGCAUACUUGAAAUUGUGCUUUCAAACUAUGAUGGGUUCGUUUAAGGGCUAUUAGCUCAGGUGGUUAGAGCGCACCCCUGAUAAGGGUGAGGUCCCUGGUUCGAGUCCAGGAUGGCCCACCUGAAGGAAGUCAAAGGUUAAAAAUCAAAAGUCAAAAGUAAUGAUAUUAGUUUUGAAUUUUGAAUUUUGACUUUUGAAUUGUUCUUGGGGGUUUAGCUCAAUUGGUAGAGCGCCUGCUUUGCAAGCAAGAUGUCAGCGGUUCGAGUCCGCUAACCUCCACAUGAGAGUGACAGAAACAAAAGUGAAUGCACCAAAGCCAAGCCGAGGUAAAAGUGCUAGAAUCAUUCUUGUGAGUCAAAACUCAACGUGAUAUAAUGAGAGAUUGGGAAAAGUCAGCACCUAGAUAUCAAGUGAUAUCGGAAUGCUGGAUUAUACCAGCCAGAACCUUGAAAACUGCAUAAGAAAGCGAGAAAAAGAAAAGCAGGCAGUAGAAAAAGUCAAAAGUCAAAAGUCAAAACAAGACGAAAAGACAAAAGACAGAAUACUGUAGAUUUUCAACCAAUGAAAGU